rnacentral:rRNA from 1 species
GCGGAGGAAAAGAAACUAACAAGGAUUCCCCUAGUAACGGCGAGUGAAGCGGGAUGAGCUCAAAUUUAAAAUCUGGCGGCCUCAGGUCGUCCGAGUUGUAGUCUAGAGAAUCGUUUUCCGCGUUGGCCUGUGUACAAGUCCCUUGGAACAGGGCGUCAUAGAGGGUGAGAAUCCCGUCCUUGACACAGAUUACCAAUGCUUUGUGAUGCGAUCUCGAAGAGUCGAGUUGUUUGGGAAUGCAGCUCAAAAUGGGUGGUAAAUUCCAUCUAAAGCUAAAUAUUGGCGAGAGACCGAUAGCGAACAAGUACCGUGAGGGAAAGAUGAAAAGCACUUUGGAAAGAGAGUUAAACAGUACGUGAAAUUGUUAAAAGGGAAACGAUUGAAGUCAGUCAUGCUUUCCGAGACUCAGCCGAUUCUGUCGGUGUACUUCUCGGUUGGCAGGCCAGCAUCAGUUUCGAUCUGUGGAAAAGGUUGGAGGGAACGUGGCAUCUCCGGAUGUGUUAUAGCCCUUCUUCGAAUACAUAGAGCGGGACUGAGGAACGCAGCGCGCCUUUUAUUAGGUUGGCCCUCGGGUACAUACGCGCUUAGGAUGCUGGCAUAAUGGCUUUAAACGACCC